AUUGGUUCUGAAAAGGGGCUGAAGACACACUGGCAGGUCAAAGGGCAAAGAGUAUGCUCGUGUUCGGAGAGAGCAAUGCGGUGUCAACGGCGGGGCACUAAAGGUUACUUUGGAGGGUGAUACUCAACGGAUAAAGACGUGACGAUUGAGGCCGGCUGAAAAAUGGCAGAAAAAGAAGCAUGAUGCGUGAAAAGCUGUGGGGGAAGAAGACCCCUGUGGUUUGGGGCCUGUGACCGUGGGAACCAUGGCCAGCAUGGUCUUCAGAAAGAGUAUAGAUAGUCCCGUUAUAGCUCCUUCGGAGGUUUUAAAAAUUGCUUUAUUAUAAUGGAAUCAGUGUAGAGAGGAACCCAGUGCAGAGAAUCCCUUCCUCCAUGUGCAAAACUGAUGCUGGAUCACUUGGUCGGGCAACAGAUCUGUGUACAGGCCAGGCGCUGGGCUAGGCCUCGACUUUGGGCUGUGGAUCGGCAAAUUGAAAGAGAAGCUGCAGGCUGCACACCUUUGCCCUGUUCUAGUGCUGUCUGGAUUAGUGCCAGAACCGGGUGUGGCUUGGCUCCUAGCACAGCCUUGAUAGGUGGAUGGGAGCGGAUGUGGACUUUCUAAGUCUAGUUGAUGCAGGACUGGCCUCGACCCCCAGGUGUGCUUCUGAGAGCUUUGAUGAGCCCUAGCCAGCACGGCUGGUCGUAAACGAUUAAUUUUGUUGAACACUGUGUAUGUGUCCCGCACUUUGCAAGCGUUAUUUCUAAUCCUCACUUUACACACUGCAUCCUUUCUAAUCCUCUCGUGCCCGAGGUCGCCGGGAUUUGAACUCUGGGGCUCCUGCACCGCUAGGUGCCGAUUUCCUUACUUCCUUAUGUUGGGUGAGGCCUGGCACACCUGGGUGGGGAAUGUCCAAUCCCAACGUGGACUGUUUCAGAGCGAGCCAAACAUUCACCUCCCAGAGAAUGCAACACGCCCUCCUCUGGUACAUAUUUACAAGAGGAAACGAGUCAGGUCACCUUGGGCAAGUUUCUUAAAUCUCCCCGAGGUUCCGUUUCCUCCUUUAUGAAAGGGGAAUAACAACGUCGACUCUCUCCAGGAUUACUGUACGAGCGAUGAUGUGAGUGAAGAGAAAGUAAGGAAGACAAUAACAACAGCGAUUACUGGGUGCUGUUUGCAGGCACCGGGCUGUGUGUUCUACCAGCCGGCUUGCCUCUGACCCUUAGGGCACCUCAUGAGGCCAGCGCUGUUGCUGUUCCUAUUUUAUGGCCAAGGAAGCUGGGGCUUAGCGGGUUUGGUCAUUGGCUCAAAGGCACAGCUCGUGAGUGACACAUGUCGGAGUCUGGAGCCCGUGCUGUGCCACACGUCCUGCGCUGAGACGUCUAUUCUCAGAGAAAAGGGUUAACAGGACCCGUGGUGUCCUUCUUAGAAGGACGACUCCUGGAGCCUGAACCCUACGCUAAGAGACGCUGACCAGAGAUUCUGUUACCAUCCCUGCCUGCCACGGCCCUCUUGGUCGCCAGAAGGGGGCACCGAGGAGCAGCAAGGGGCCCAGUCCCAGCAUCAGGAAGCACCUUGAGAGUUUGAUGGAAGGAACUUCUGCCCACCGGAAGGUGAGCAAUAUAUUGGCAGUCCCUCACCUCUAAGACUUCCUGGAGCUAAAAUGCAAAUGGCUCACCAUGAAAAAUAAAGUGCAGUGACUCAGCCAGAGCGUGAGAAGUCCGGCACCUUGGGAUAUUCCCGUCGGGGAGAAGGGGUGAAGGACUCUCUCCUCUCCAAGGGUCCCCGCCAUCUCCUCCAAAUACAGACGGCGGGCAAAGCCUCAGAGGAGGGCUGCUCCUGAGGCUCAUUUAUACAAGAAAAUAAAAGUCCACGUGCCUCAUUGGAAACAGUGUCACCAUCAGAUACCACUGGGGAAGAAGCAGAGAUGGAUACAAGGGGGCAGGGUGCAGUGUUGACUCCCCCCGGCCUGGGAGCCCUGAGGAUGAGCCCCUAGCUGCUGGCCCUGGAGUCUCAGGCUUAGGUGCCUGCAUCUGAUGUCAGAUCAGAGGCUCCCAGGAUUGAAUUUCUGUGUACACAGAACUCAUGCGGUCAGUAAAACCGAAUCAAGAGUGUACAGUGCUCAAGCCAGGUGACAAAUGAGUGUCUCCUCGAGGAGAAUCCUUUUGUUUCUAUUAAAAAUGUCACCCUGAGAGAUAAUACACAUAUAUUUUUUUUCAGUCUCUUUGAGGAUCUGAAAGAUUGCCAGGCCAAGCGUUAUCAGAGGGUUGCAAGUGAAGGGUACAGGGUCUGGGGGUGGGGUGUGGGAUUCUGUUUUAUCUGCUUUUAAGAUCCACUCGCCAAUGAUAUCCUCACAGACCGUGAAGAAGUUGACGUUCGCAAAGAAAAUCAAGAGACUUAGGCAAGAGUUGUGAGAUGAGCACAAGAGAAGAAAUACUCUCUUUCUGGAUGGUCCGUGGACUUUGAACAACCAAACCUGUACAGACCUCUUAAAGUCCGCACUUCUGUGGAGCAGAUGAACGGCUACGAGUGGAUUAUAAACCAGGUUGCCGCUGAAUCUUCCUCCCUUCAGCAGAUUUUUGGAUUAAGUCCAAGGAAGGGACACGCAGAUAGGAAGUCUGGUAACUCAGGUUUGAACAGAAUUGAAGUUUAAGAGAAAGCCAAAAUGACUUCAGUUUUUUUCUUUGAAAACUGAGCUGUCUAUACAGUGAGAACCAAAGCAGGGAGCAUCGUUUGUCUGAUGGCAUAAAGUAAGAGGGAUUAUUGCCUUGUGCCAGCAACGACACAACAUUUGGCAUUUAGAGAUGCUGCACCCUAUCACCUAGAAAAAUGCCUGGCACACAGAGAUACGUGUUAAUUUUUGAAUGAAUAAUCUUGACAUAGUUCAAGUGUGCAGAGCUACACUUUAUUUUCCUCAGCUGUAUUUUACUUAUGUUAAUGAUGUUACUGUACCUAUUCCGGGCUACUCGGCCAUCAGCCUGCCAUCUAGAACUCAGCUCCUUCCUACAUCACUUGCCACUGUCCCCUCCGCGUCUUAGGUGUGCCUCAUUCUCUGAGGUGCGAGUCAUUCCUUGAGAGCAGGGACGGCAUUUUCUACACCUGUGACUCCAAAGCAUCCUGAACAUACAAGUGGACAGUUGCGUAGAACAGGGAGCGGUGGACUUUUUCUGUAAAAGGCCAAUCAGUAAAUAUUUUAGUCCAAUCUCUGCUGCGACUCCUCAACCCUGCCGAGGCCGCCGCAGACAAUACCGAGUGAGUGGGUGUGGCCGUGUGCCAGUGAAAUCUGAUUUACAGAAACAGGCGUGGCUGAUUUGGCCCACAGGCCUGCAUUUCCAGUCCCCGGUCCCAAGGAAACAAGUGUGCUGGAAAGAAGAGUGGUUGAAGCUGGAGGCUGAACACUGGACAUGUCUUCAUCUGUAAAAGACCCUUCUAGCUUUGAAAUCACCAAGUUCUAAGAAUUAUUUUCAACAUAUACUGAAAACACAGCAUCACCUGGGCUACCCUUCUUCAAUUUACGGCGCUCACUGCCAGUACCACUCUUUGGCUAUGAAACAGGUUGGCGAGACACAGGCCAGUAAAACGUUUGUGGGCUGAGAAAAUGUUAGGAGGUGACAGAUGCUCCCCCAUCCCCCUGCCACCAAGCAGUCCUUUCCUGAGGACAAUAAAUAGAAAAGAGCACAGAAAGAAGCAACUUGCUCAGUGUUGCACAUACCACUGGCUGUUCAAUUAAAAAAUAGAACCCAGGAAUCUUCUCUCACUCUGUCCUAUGUUAAACUCUCUCCCACAAAUGCCAGCCCUUGCAGCUUGUUAAACUCAACAACAGUCCUUCUUCGUCCUUGAAAAAUAAGCAACACCUUUCAAGAUAAGCUGUGUGUUUCUAUUUCAAUUUGUGGUUUGUGUUUAAACUGUCAACUACCUCCUGGAUUUCUUUCAUUGAAUAUUUUAGAUUUUCCGCCAGGUAAAUAUCUAAGUGAACCAUCAUAACGUUGCAUGGGGCCUCUUAAUUGUGUGAUGCCUCCCAAUUUCAUAGAUACUAAGUGUGAAAAAAAGAAAGAAUUGCUAAAAUAUGGUGGAUUUUUUUUAAUGAACCUGGAUUCUUGACUUUACAUUUCUAUCUGAAAUAGAACAGAUGAUAUACUAGGCCUUACAUUGUUUUGGGGGUUUCUCCAUCUGGAAUGACCUCUUUUUCUUUAAUCUCCACUUGUCCAUAUUCUAAGCAUUCAUCUAAGCCCAGCUAAAAGCCAGCCCCUCCAUGGAGCCUUCCUGACACCUCUACUCCAACCUCCUACAGCACUUAAUCAGAGUCCUUGGAAGACACCACAGGCUGCACUUGUAGCUCACUGUCUACAGCUGUUUCAUGACGGAGACUGUGUCUUACAUCUCCUGGAACACUCCACACCCAUGAAUGCAGAACAGUGCUGUAAACACAGAAGGUGUCCAAAGGCACACACCCAGGAGUACCUGAGCAAAUGAUGCGUGAUUUACUUUUUGAUCCACAUGCAUCAGUAGUGUUCUUACGCACAUCCUCCAACUAUGGUAUUUGCCAGUGUGACACACAGCGGCACCUUCAGUGCCCUCUGGGCUCAUUUGAAAAGCUACGUUUUCCCAUAUAAAAGCUGCUUUAUAGAGAUCUGAAGGACUUUUAUGGCUGUUCAAUAAUGACGGAACUUUACAUCGUACAUAUGAAUCACCCAAUGAAUUCGACUUCCAGUAAAUGAAGAAUCAAUUCUACGAGGAUCUGAGUAGUCUAAAAAGACACCCAAAGGGUUGGAGUGGAGAGACAGGGACACCCCAAAUGAGAAACAAGCCUGGAACUGUGAUGAGCACUGUUCAGAGGGUCACAGCAUCAAGACUAAAUGUCAGAUCGUAGACUUCUCUCUCGUUUCACCCUUGAGAAAAACAGUGCCUUUUGGUUACAUCAGCUAAUCCUGGAUCUGGUUAAAUUAGCGAAUACAGACAUGUGGAGGUUAUGGAACUUUUGAAGAUACCAAUAGAGUAGCACAGUUUUUAAGAGAGCCAUAUUAAAAAAUUUCCAGACCUACUAAACCAGGGAAAAACAGCUCUAAGCCUGAACAAUUUAAUUUGAUACAUGGGGCUUAUCUUGGAUUCCUAAGAAGUCUGUGGCAAAGACAGCGUCACAGAGGAGGUGGACAAGACAGAUCGUGAUUAGGAAUGCAGGGGUAGCAAGGGCAGCCCAAGAGACAGCAGCCAACGGCGCGGCAAGGGCUGUCCUGCAGCCUUAUCCGCCAGCCCCUAUGUGACCUCUGCUUCUCUGCCGUUCAGUUUCCUCUGUGGUUUCCCCUGUAAACGACCCUACCAUAUAAAAUGGAUAGAGCAAUGAUAGGCUACCUCGAAGAGCUAUUCUGAGGAUUAUAAACAAGUAGAAAGUAUCCACAGAAUGUCCAGAACUGUUGCACAGACCGUGCAAGAAACAAGCAGGGCGUAUACAGACAAGAAAGAAAGCCUAGAACGUCCAAGACAGGUCAUUUAUAUCAUUCACAGGAAUAUACUGGCCCCUUCCUCCUCCAGUUAUCUGGGGAAAUGCACAUGCUUUGCCACAAUAAGCUCUUUGCUACCUUAUCCCCGUCCUUUCUUUUCAUAGUUUCCCUUUUUUCCAUUAUUAAAAAAACCUUUAUGUAAAAGUAGACGGAACAGUAAUGUAAACCCCGGUGCACCCAACACCCAGCCAUACAGCCAUCAGCUUGUGACUAACCUUAUUUUAUGUACACCCCACCCGUUCCUCACUCCUAACCCCGUGGGAUGCUUUUGGAUCACAUUCCAAGCAUACAUGAUUUCAUUUUUCAUAGUGUUUUUGAAACACGUCAUAGCUCUUGGCCAUUUGAUUUUCUUGAUCCAACAUUCCUUAUGUAAGUUAUUUAUAAUGAUAAAAUUGCGGUGACAUUGGAGGUGCCCUUGGGACCAGAGAAGAAUUUAGAAACAAAUGACUUAAAUAAAAAAGGGAUGAGUCAAGGCAGAAGUAAAGCAGCCUUAGGGCCCGUGUCGUCAUGGUGUCGUGAGCACUGCUCCAGCCUGAGCUUCAGCUGGACCUCGCUCCUGCGGCAUCAGCCCAAGGAGGAAGGGGCACGACUCACCUUUCCCUGAACAGUUCUGACCUCUCUCCUGUCUCCGUGUCUCCCUCCCAUUACUGGACCCAUAAUCACCUUCAGCAUCGAGCUACUGCCCUUCCUCAGUUCCUCCAGUCAAAAUACCCCUUCUCUCUGCGCUGCUUCCACGGCACUGAAUUAUCCUCGCAUACAGUAAGUACUCAAUAAAUGCUUGUGCAUUGACUGGACGGGGCAGAGGGCUCAUUUCCUUCUGCCUUGGAGCUUAGUGGUUUUCACAUCUGUCUCUCCUAGUAAAAUUUAAGUCCCUUGAGGAAAUAAGUGUUAUAUCAGCUCCGUGUCCCCUACUUCCCAGUGCAUUUAUCUGUGCACAGCAGGUGCUCCAAAAAUGUCUCGUGAAUGGAGAGAAGCUCUAGGAAAAGAGUUAACUUUGCCAAGAGGUUAGAGGAUUAUAAGCUUCUGGAGAAUGACUUCAUGUAAAUUAUGGGUGGGCUAGCAAAAAUACAAUGUGGUGAUUUUUUUCACUGGUUUCCACUGGUUUCUCGUCUUAGGGGAGUAAAUUUGGGCUUGUCAGCAUAGAAGGGAAAGAAUUCGGGAGUGGUUUCCUCUGUCCAAAUGACACAGCAGCACCAGACUCCAACACCCUAAUCCUGCUUUUCUCUCCUACCCCCUCCCAAGGUGAAGGCUACGUGGAGUUGCUGUGCAGAGGAUGGAAUUACAAGCCUGCAUCUGAGACAAAGGUUCUUUAUGCUGCGUCUGCUCGUUAAUGAGCCGCUGGAAACUUCGGGACAGGGCCAUUAACAUGCUCAUAAACCUUUGAUUUCAAAUGUUUUUGUUCAGCCGCGAUUCUGAUGUGACUCCCCUUGUAAGCUGGAUGGAGGACGUUUGUUUCUUAACACUUCCGAGGCGCAUAACUCCUCCAACCCCGUGGCUCAUUAACUAGCCCAUUAAGGAUUUCGCCUCCUGCAGGCAGAAGCCUCCACUUGGCCUCCCAGAGCCUCGGAGGGCACCUAAUUGGGACAGUGUGAGGCUCCAAGGAAGCUCGAGGCAGGAGUGCGGCAAGGGGAGCGCUCACUUACCUGCUAUCCUCCCGAUGGGCAUGGCGUGCUCCUCGGGCGGGGAGACGGAGACCAUGAUGUGGUUCAUGUACGCCAGGUCUUCCCGAUGGGAGAGGUUGAUGGGUUUCCCUUCCCGGUGCAGCCCGUCCUCGGAGAGCCGGGACUGCUUGAAAUCCACGGAGUGCCGGGGGUUCAGAAUCAGAGGGUGCAUGAUGGGACUGGGCAUCA